rnacentral:rRNA from 1 species
UUGCCAGCAGCUAGCUCUCUGCAACUCUCACAUGGUCGGUUGCUGAAGCUGAGUAGGGCUGCUCCCGGUUAGUUGCUGCGUGGGAGACCACUUAGGAAUACUGGGUUGCUGCCAGA